rnacentral:rRNA from 1 species
CACGUAUCCAACGUGCCGUCUACUCUUGGACAGCCUUCUGAAAGGAAGAUUAAUACAAGAUGGCAUCAUGAGUCCACAUGUUCACAUGAUUAAAGGUAUUCCGGUAGACGAUGGGGAUGCGUUCCAUUAGAUAGUAGGCGGGGUAACGGCCCACCUAGUCUUCGAUGGAUAGGGGUUCUGAGAGGAAGGUCCCCCACAUUGGAACUGAGACACGGUCCAAACUCCUACGGGAGGCAGCAGUGAGGAAUAUUGGUCAAUGGGCGAGAGCCUGAACCAGCCAAGUAGCGUGAAGGAUGACUGCCCUAUGGGUUGUAAACUUCUUUUAUAAAGGAAUAAAGUCGGGUAUGCAUACCCGUUUGCAUGUACUUUAUGAAUAAGGAUCGGCUAACUCCGUGCCAGCAGCCGCGGUAAUACGGAGGAUCCGAGCGUUAUCCGGAUUUAUUGGGUUUAAAGGGAGCGUAGAUGGAUGUUUAAGUCAGUUGUGAAAGUUUGCGGCUCAACCGUAAAAUUGCAGUUGAUACUGGAUAUCUUGAGUGCAGUUGAGGCAGGCGGAAUUCGUGGUGUAGCGGUGAAAUGCUUCGAUAUCACGAAGACUCCGAUUGCGAAGGCAGCCUGCUAAGCUGCAACUGA